GGGUUAAGGGGUAGGGCGAAGACAAAAGGCUACGUAGCCCUUGAAACGAAGCUAUCCAAGGACCACACUUCAAAGGGAGGGCUUCGAGGAAAAUCCGGCCGAAAAUGCAUUUUUACUAGUUGUUAUCAUUUGGACUCAUGAUGUAAAGUUGACUGUAGCCUAUAUUCAGCUCGAAGUCAUACACGGACAAUGCGAUCUCUGAGCUCGAUAUAAAACAUGACAUAACGGUAAAUAACCGUUGAACUACAAGAUUUUGGCGCUCUCUAGUGGCCAACCGAAAUCGCCAAAUAAACAAACAGCAGCGAUGGCUCAAGCGAAGGACACGCACAAAUGGACACCACAUGCACCAGACGGCUCAUUAAUUUCAGGGCGACCAGGGACAAUGAGUUCCUAAAAUCGAAAAUGAUCGCCAGAAAACAGUGGGAGCUUUUUCUGGAAGAAAUGGGGGUGGAGGGGAAAGUGACCAGGCAACAGGCUUCUAAGAAGUGGGAGAACCUAAAAACGAAGUACAAGACCCGCUCUAUCACAGAACGCACCUUGGAUUGGCGGUAAUUAAAGCGCUGCUGCACCCGCCCAAUCACCGGCUCUUUAUAGGGAGUCAACAGACAUACGGGCGUCUGGAGGCAGGGGUACCCACCAUCACAUAAAAGCAUGUAACUCGGCGGUGGAUACCUGGCAGUCAAAUAAAAAGAACUGUUUUUCAUUA